rnacentral:rRNA from 1 species
GAUGAACGCUGGCGGCGUGCCUAAUACAUGCAAGUCGAGCGAACAGACGAGGAGCUUACUCCUCUGACGUUAGCGGCGGACGGGUGAGUAACACGUGGAUAACCUACCUAUAAGACUGGGAUAACUUCGGGAAACCGGAGCUAAUACCGGAUAACAUGUUGAACCGCAUGGUUCAACAGUGAAAGACGGUCUUGCUGUCACUUAUAGAUGGAUCCGCGUCGCAUUAGCUAGUUGGUAAGGUAACGGCUUACCAAGGCAACGAUGCGUAGCCGACCUGAGAGGGUGAUCGGCCACACUGGAACUGAGACACGGUCCAGACUCCUACGGGAGGCAGCAGUAGGGAAUCUUCCGCAAUGGGCGAAAGCCUGACGGAGCAACGCCGCGUGAGUGAAGAAGGUCUUCGGAUCGUAAAACUCUGUUAUUAGGGAAGAACAAAUGUGUAAGUAACUAUGCACGUCUUGACGGUACCUAAUCAGAAAGCCACGGCUAACUACGUGCCAGCAGCCGCGGUAAUACGUAGGUGGCAAGCGUUAUCCGGAAUUAUUGGGCGUAAAGCGCGCGUAGGCGGUUUUUUAAGUCUGAUGUGAAAGCCCACGGCUCAACCGUGGAGGGUCAUUGGAAACUGGAAAACUUGAGUGCAGAAGAGGAAAGUGGAAUUCCAUGUGUAGCGGUGAAAUGCGCAGAGAUAUGGAGGAACACCAGUGGCGAAGGCGACUUUCUGGUCUGUAACUGACGCUGAUGUGCGAAAGCGUGGGGAUCAAACAGGAUUAGAUACCCUGGUAGUCCACGCCGUAAACGAUGAGUGCUAAGUGUUAGGGGGUUUCCGCCCCUUAGUGCUGCAGCUAACGCAUUAAGCACUCCGCCUGGGGAGUACGACCGCAAGGUUGAAACUCAAAGGAAUUGACGGGGACCCGCACAAGCGGUGGAGCAUGUGGUUUAAUUCGAAGCAACGCGAAGAACCUUACCAAAUCUUGACAUCCUCUGACCCCUCUAGAGAUAGAGUUUUCCCCUUCGGGGGACAGAGUGACAGGUGGUGCAUGGUUGUCGUCAGCUCGUGUCGUGAGAUGUUGGGUUAAGUCCCGCAACGAGCGCAACCCUUAAGCUUAGUUGCCAUCAUUAAGUUGGGCACUCUAAGUUGACUGCCGGUGACAAACCGGAGGAAGGUGGGGAUGACGUCAAAUCAUCAUGCCCCUUAUGAUUUGGGCUACACACGUGCUACAAUGGACAAUACAAAGGGUAGCGAAACCGCGAGGUCAAGCAAAUCCCAUAAAGUUGUUCUCAGUUCGGAUUGUAGUCUGCAACUCGACUACAUGAAGCUGGAAUCGCUAGUAAUCGUAGAUCAGCACGCUACGGUGAAUACGUUCCCGGGUCU